GCGGGCAGGGGCCGGGCUGGCGCUGCUGCUAGAGAUGCUGUGGGACCGCGAAGGCGUUAGGAAGCCGGGAGCUCUGCCCUGAAGACACCGGGAUACAGUGAAUGCAAAGGACAGAAGAGUUAGAUGGCACAGACCACUGAAUUUCUUUGUUCGGAGGACACGUUAUGAACCCUUUCUGGAGCAUGUCUACAAGCUCUGUACGCAAACGUUCUGAUGGCGAAGAGAAGACAUUAGCAGGGGAUGUGAAAAGCAGUCUUCCAAGAACGGCACCAAAAAAACAGCUGCCUUCUAUUCCCAAAAAUGCACUACCCAUAACUAAGCCUACGACUCCUGCCCCGGCAGCACAAUCAACAAAUGGCACACAUGCUUCUUACGGCCCCUUCUACCUGGAAUACUCUCUGCUCGCAGAAUUUACCUUGGUAGUGAAGCAGAAGUUACCGGGAGUCUAUGUGCAGCCAUCUUACCGCUCCGCAUUAAUGUGGUUUGGAGUAAUAUUCAUACGGCAUGGGCUUUAUCAAGACGGCGUGUUUAAGUUCACAGUUUACAUCCCUGAUAACUAUCCAGAUGGUGAUUGUCCACGCUUGGUGUUUGAUAUUCCCGUCUUUCACCCGCUAGUUGAUCCCACUUCAGGUGAACAGGAUGUGAAGAGAGCAUUUGCAAAAUGGAGGCGGAACCAUAAUCAUAUUUGGCAAGUAUUAAUGUAUGCAAGGAGAGUUUUCUACAAGAUUGAUACAGCAAACCCCUUAAAUCCAGAGGCUGCAGUACUGUAUGAAAAAGAUGUUCACCUUUUUAAAAGCAAAGUAGUCGACAAUGUUAAGGUGUGCACGUCUCGUUUGUUUGAACAACCUAAAAUAGAAGACCCGUAUGCAAUUAGUUUUUCUCCAUGGAAUCCUUCUGUACACGAUGAAGCCAGAGAGAAGAUGCUGACUCAGAAAAAGCCUGAAGAACAGCACAAUAAAAGUGUUCAUGUUGCUGGCCUGUCAUGGGUAAAGCCUGGCUCAGUACAACCUUUCAGUAAAGAAGAAAAAGCAGUAGCAACUUAGGAGAUGCUGACUCUGGGCACCAUGCACUUUCCUGCUGGACUC